AUUGAACGCUGGCGGCAUGCUUUACACAUGCAAGUCGAACGGGGUGAGGGGGCAACUCUUCAUUCAGUGGCGAACGGGUGAGUAAUGCAUCGGAACGUAUCCCGUAGUGGGGGACAACGCCGCGAAAGCGGCGCUAAUACCGCAUAUGCUCUACGGAGGAAAGUGGGGGACCUGAAAGGGCCUCACGCUAUGGGAGCGGCCGAUGUCCGAUUAGCUAGUUGGUGGGGUAAUGGCCCACCAAGGCGACGAUCGGUAGCUGGUCUGAGAGGAUGAUCAGCCACACUGGGACUGAGACACGGCCCAGACUCCUACGGGAGGCUG
rnacentral:rRNA from 1 species